UACGGAGGGUGCGAGCGUUGUCCGGAAUCACUGGGCGUAAAGGGUGCGUAGGUGGUUGGGUAAGUUUGAUGUGAAAGCUCAGGGCUUAACCCUGAAAUGGCAUUGAAUACUACUUAACUGGAGGUUUGGAGGGGGGACUGGAAUUCUCGGUGUAGCAGUGAAAUGCGUAGAUAUCAAGAGGAACACCAGUGGCGAAGGCGAGUCCCUGGACAACACCUGACACUGAGGCACGAAAGCUAGGGGAGCAAACAGG
rnacentral:rRNA from 1 species